rnacentral:tRNA from 1 species
GUACUGGUGGUGCAGUGGUAGAAUUCUCGCCUUCCAUGUGGGAGACCUGAGGUUCAAUUCCCAGCCAGUGCA